rnacentral:other from 1 species
AAUUUCCUGCAAUGGUAAAGUGCUGUAUUACUGGGACCAACAUCAACGAAUAGGGAGCUUUUCUCCGGGCGCGGAAAGCAUGCCUCCUUGUCGAGGAAGCUUGAACCGUCCGGGAGGCACCCACCGUGACAAGCUGGGUUCCAGCUAAUCUCACUUUGCCAUUGCAGGAUUUUU